rnacentral:rRNA from 1 species
GACGAACGCUGGCGGCGUGCUUAACACAUGCAAGUCGAACGAAGUGGCGAACGGGUGAGUAACGCGUAAUCAACCUGCCCUUCAGGGGGGGACAACAGUUGGAAACGACUGCUAAUACCGCAUACUGAAGGAGUGGUUUGCGUGUGAUUAGCUAGUUGGAGGGGUAACGGCCCAACAAGGCGAUGGUCAGUAGCCGGUCUGGGGGGAUGAACGGCAAAAGUGGGACUGGGACACGGCCCAGAAUCCUACGGGAGGCAGCAAGGGGGAAGCUUCCGCAAUGGAGGAAAGUCUGACGGAGCAACGCCGCGUGAGUGAUGACGGCCUUCGGGUUGUAAAGCUCUGUUAAUCGGGACGCGGUACCGGAAGAGAAAGCCACGGCUAACUACGUGCCAGCAGCCGCGGUAAUUC